AACGACUCUCGGCAACGGAUAUCUCGGCUCUCGCAUCGAUGAAGAACGUAGCGAAAUGCGAUACUUGGUGUGAAUUGCAGAAUCCCGUGAACCAUCGAGUCUUUGAACGCAAGUUGCGCCCGAAGCCAUUAGGUUGAGGGCACGUCUGCCUGGGCGUCACG
rnacentral:rRNA from 2 species